AUACGGAGGAUGCAAGCGUUAUCCGGAUUUAUUGGGUUUAAAGGGUGCGUAGGCUGUUCGGAAAGUCAGGGGUGAAAGCCCGGCGCCUAACGCCGGAACUGCCUUUGAUACUUCCGAGCUGGAAUACGGAUGCCGUGGGAGGAAUGAGUAGUGUAGCGGUGAAAUGCAUAGAUAUUACUCAGAACACCGAUUGCGAAGGCAUCUCACAAAUCCGUCAUUGACGCUGAGGCACGAAAGCGUGGGGAUCAAACAGGAUUAGAUACCCUGGUAGUCCACGCAGUAAACGAUGAUGACUAACCGUCGGCGAUACACAGUCGGUGGCCAAGCGAAAGCGAUAAGUCAUCCACCUGGGGAGUACGUUCGCAAGAAUGAAACUCAAAGGAAUUGACGGGG
rnacentral:rRNA from 1 species